rnacentral:rRNA from 1 species
CACGUAGGGGGCGAGCGUUGUCCGGAUUUAUUGGGCGUAAAGAGCUCGUAGGCGGUUCGGCAAGUCGGGUGUGAAAUUUCGAGGCUCAACCUCGAAACGCCACUCGAUACUGCUGUGACUGGAGUCCGGUAGAGGAGUGCGGAAUUCCUGGUGUAGCGGUGAAAUGCGCAGAUAUCAGGAGGAACACCAACGGCGAAGGCAGCACUCUGGGCCGGUACUGACGCUGAGGAGCGAAAGCUAGGGGAGCAAACAGG